rnacentral:rRNA from 1 species
UUUAGCGUUCCAUCCCUCGUCAAAUCCUGGUCUCGUCUGAUCUCAGAAGCUAAGCAAGGCCGGGCCUGGUUAGUACUGGGAUGCUGCGAAUACCAGGUGCCACAGGGG